AACGUAGGAGGCGAGCGUUAUCCGGAUUUACUGGGCGUAAAGCGCACGCAGGCGGCUUCGUGAGUCGGCGGUGAAAGCUCCUGGCUUAACUGGGAGAGGUUCGUCGAUACUGCGGGGCUUGAGGUUGGGAGAGGGGUGUGGAAUUCCCGGUGUAGUGGUGGAAUGCGUAGAUAUCGGGAGGAACACCAGUGGCGAAGGCGGCACCCUGGCCCACACCUGACGCUGAGGUGCGAAAGCGUGGGGAG
rnacentral:rRNA from 1 species